rnacentral:rRNA from 1 species
GAUGAACGCUGGCGGCGUGCCUAAUACAUGCAAGUCGAGCGAACAGACGAGGAGCUUUCUCCUCUGACGUUAGCGGCGGACGGGUGAGUAACACGGGGAUAACCUACCUAUAAGACUGGGAUAACUUCGGGAAACCGGAUCUAAUACCGGAUAAUAUAUUGAACCGCAUGGGUCAAUAGUUAAAUACGGUUUUUCUGUCACUUAUAGAUUGAUCCGCGCCGCAUUAGCUAGUUGGUAAGGUAACGGCUUACCAAGGCUACGAUGCGUAGCCGACCUGAGAGGGUGAUCGGACACACUGGAACUGAGACACGGUCCAGACUCCUACGGGAGGCAGCAGUAGGGAAUCUUACGCAAUGGGGGAAAGCCUGACGGAGCAAAGCCGCGUGAGUGAUGAAGGUCUUCGGCUCGUAAAACUCUGUUAUUAGGGAAGAACAAAUGUGUAAGUAACUAUGCACGUCUUGACGGUACCUAAUCAGAAAGCCACGGCUAACUACGUG